rnacentral:rRNA from 1 species
AUUGAACGCUGGCGGCAGGCUUAACACAUGCAAGUCGAGCGAGCGGCGGACGGGUGAGUAAUGUCUGGGAAACUGCCUGAUGGAGGGGGAUAACUACUGGAAACGGUAGCUAAUACCGCAUACCAUCAGAUGUGCCCAGAUGGGAUUAGCUGGUAGGUGGGGUAAUGGCUCACCUAGGCGACGAUCCCUAGCUGGUCUGAGAGGAUGACCAGCCACACUGGACUGGGAACACGGUCCAAACUCUUACGGGAGGCGGCAGUGGGGAAUAUUGCACAAUGGGCAAAAGCCUGAUGCAGCCAUGCCGCGUGUGGGAAGAAGGCCUUCGGGUUGUAAAGCACUUUCAGCGAGGAGGCGUUACUCGCAGAAGAAGCACCGGCUAACUCCGUGCCAGCAGCCGCGGUAAUUC